GGGGGCGACAGGUUUCGACAGCGUGUUGGAGGGUCUGGGGGAGCAGGUCGAGUUACGCCCGUAAUCCUCGCUAAAAAUUCGGGCAAGACGAUAAACGUCGACAAUAAUUACGCUUUAGCGGCUUAAGCCCGCUACGUCGAAGGAAGAGCUGGUCUACCGGUUCUCCGGAGGCGUCAAUUCAGGUAGAUGCUCUGCUCGUUGUCCGACCCUGCGCGAGUGGAAAAGAUCAGGGGUCUUGGAACGCGGAAGGUUGUUCUCUGCCGUGUCGCGGACGACAAUUAAACGAGAACUAAGCCUGUAGCGCCGUCAUGGCUGGCCCACGUUGGACGGGAGUUCGAUUCUCCCCGCCUCCACCA
rnacentral:tmRNA from 1 species